UGGGUUGUGGCUCUGUGGCAGAGCGCUUGCCUGGCAUGUGUGAGGCCCUGGGUUCAAUUCUCAGCACCACGU
rnacentral:tRNA from 1 species